rnacentral:rRNA from 1 species
CUGCUGCCUUCCGUAGGAGUCUGGGCCGUGUCUCAGUCCCAAUGUGGCCGUCCACCCUCUCAGGCCGGCUACUGAUCGUCGCCUUGGUAGGCCGUUACCCUGCCAACAAGCUAAUCAGACGCGGGUCCAUCUUACACCACCGUGGUUUUCAAGGAAAACACAUGCAUGUUCUCCUGUUAUGCGGUAUUAGCACCUAUUUCUAAGUGUUAUCCCCCGGUGUAAGGCAGGUUGCCCACGCGUUACUCACCCGUCCGCCACUAAAAA